rnacentral:rRNA from 1 species
GAUGAACGCUGGCGGCGUGCUUAACACAUGCAAGUCGAACGAAGCAUGUGGACGGAGCUCUUCGGAGCGAAGUUCAUAUGACUUAGUGGCGGACGGGUGAGUAACGCGUGGGUAACCUGCCUUAUACAGGGGGAUAACAGCCGGAAACGGCUGCUAAUACCGCAUAAGCGCACAGUGCUGCAUGGCACAGUGUGAAAAGAUUUUAUCGGUAUAAGAUGGACCCGCGUCUGAUUAGCUAGUUGGUGGGGUAACAGCCUACCAAGGCGACGAUCAGUAGCCGGCUUGAGAGAGUGACCGGCCACAUUGGGACUGAGACACGGCCCAGACUCCUGCGGGAGGCAGCAGUGGGGAAUAUUGCACAAUGGGGGAAACCCUGAUGCAGCGACGCCGCGUGAGUGAUGAAGGUUUUCGGAUCGUAAAGCUCUAUCAGCAGGGAAGAUAAUGACGGUACCUGACUAAGAAGCCCCGGCUAACUACGUG